rnacentral:rRNA from 1 species
GACGAACGCUGGCGGCGUGCUUAACACAUGCAAGUCGAACGAAGUGGCGAACGGGUGAGUAACGCGUAAUCAACCUGCCCUUCAGGGGGGGACAACAGUUGGAAACGACUGCUAAUACCGCAUACUGAAGGAGGGGAUUGCGUCGGAUUAGCUAGUUGGGGGGGUAACGGCCCACCAAGGCGAUGAUCAGUAGCCGGUCUGGGAGGAUGAACGGCCACAUUGGGAAUUGGACACUGCCCAGACUCCUACGGGGGGCAGCAAUGGGGAAUCUUCCGAAAUGGACGAAAGUCUGACGGAGCAACGCCGCGGGAGUGAUGACGGCCUUCGGGUUGGAAAGCUCUGUUAAUCGGGACGCGGUACCGGAAUAGAAAGCCACGGCUAACUACGUGCCAGCAGCCGCGGUAAUAC